CCCAGCGGUAGUCAGCUGUGCAGGCCAGUCCAUGCCUGAGCUAGUGUUACUCUGCUGGAAGAGAAAGGUGCUGCCGUUUGUGCUCCUGCAGGUUUGGCUGUUUUAGUGACUCCUGCUGUGCAGCACAGGUCAAGCCGUGCCUUCUGAGAGUGGUCUGUGCUCACACAAUGAGGCAGGCCUAGUCUGAGGGCGAACACU
ensembl:snoRNA SNORA74 Small nucleolar RNA SNORA74